ACCUGGCUGGCUCAGUCGGUAGAGCAUGUAACUCUUGACCUCAGGGUUGUGAGUUCAAGCCCCAUGUUGGGUG
rnacentral:tRNA from 1 species